rnacentral:rRNA from 1 species
GACGAACGCUAGCGGCGUGCCUAAGAAAUGCAAGUUGAGCGGGGUUAGGAAGCUUGCUUCCAAAGCCUAGCAGCGAACGGUCGCGUAACACGUAAGCAACCUGCCUAAAAGUGGGGGAUAGCCCUCCGAAAGGGGGAGUAAUACCGCAUGUGAACAAUGCAUCGCAUGUUCGUAUUGUUUAAAGCAGUAAUGCGCUUUUAGAUGGGCUUGCGGCCUAUCAGCUAGUUGGUGGGGUAACGGCCUACCAAGGCGACGACGGGUAGCUGGUCUGAGAGGAUGGUCAGCCGGACUGGGACUGAGACACGGCCCAGACUCCUACGGGAGGCAG